GGGGGUGAAAGGAAUCGAUGGGAAGUUAGUGUUAAAAACAGCUUUUUGUCCUGAGAAAGACACAAAAACUCUCAAAAAAACAUAAUUGCCAACGAAAAGUUAGCAUUUGCUGUAGCUUAAACAAGCUAAAGCCGUUAAGACUAAAGACUCCUCCUAUUUAGUCAUUGACGUCAAUCUAGAAGGAUCGACAUUUUGGUUGCCUGGAUCAAAAUGUUUAAAAAAUCAGGAUAGAGUUUAAGAAUUUUGUCUUGUUUUAAUUCUAAAACUCGAAUAGAAUAAACAAAACUAUAAAAGUAGACAUUUUUAACAGCGCUUUCUAGACGGGAGUUCGAUUCUCCCCACCUCCACCA
rnacentral:tmRNA from 1 species